rnacentral:lncRNA from 13 species
CCCCGGUGAGCCGGGGCGCUGCCCCGCCGUGCUGCUGCUUCGCUCUGCGCUUCCCUCGCUGCCGUCGGCGGAGGUUACACUUAAUAUUGGAAAGGUUACCCUGAUGCCUGGAAGAUGGUGAGUGCAUGGUGAUUCCUUCCUGGGAAGAUCUUGUUCCAGGGACAUGGGAUACCAGGAUGCCCUGAACCACAUACGGUGGCUGAAAUAUUUUACAGGGAUGAUGAACUGCUUUGAGAUCUCUCUGUUACAGCCUGAUGGGGUAACUGGACAGAGUCAGACACAGUAUAGCAUCUUUGUGCUCUUCUGAUCAGACCAAGACAUGAGGUAAGGUAUGUACCACAGCCAGCUUUUGUAAUGCAGUUUAAAAGAAACCACAGUGGCCCCUCAAGGCUCGAAGGGGGCAUAUGAAAAAUGGAGGCAAACUUUUUAGCAGGGCGUG